rnacentral:rRNA from 1 species
AAGUCUCUGGUUGAUCCUGCCGGACCCGACUGCUAUCAGAGUGGGACUAAGCCAUGCGAGUCAACGUAGCAAUGCGUGGCGAACGGCUCAGUAACACGUAGUCAACAUGCCCAGGGGACGUGGAUAACCUCGGGAAACUGAGAUUAAACCGCGAUAGGUCAAGAUUUCUGGAAUGGAUCGUGUCUUAAAUCUACAUGGCCCCUGGAUUGGACUGCGGCCGAUCAGGCUGUUGGUGAGGUAAUGGCCCACCAAACCUAUAACCGGUACGGGCUCUGAGAGGAGAAGCCCGGAGAUGGGCACUGAGACAAGGGCCCAGGCCCUAUGGGGCGCAGCAGGCGCGAAACCUCUGCAAUGGGCGAAAGCCUGACAGGGUUACUCUGAGUGAUUUCCGCUAAGGAGAUCUUUUGGCAGCUCUAAAAAUGGUGCAGAAUAAGGGGUGGGCAAGUCUGGUGUCAGCCGCCGCGGUAAUACCAGCACCCCGAGUGGUCGGGACGAUUAUUGGGCCUAAAGCAUCCGUAGCCGGUUGUGCAAGUCCUCCGUUAAAUCCAGCCGCUCAACGGAUGGGCUGCGGAGGAUACUACAGGACUAGGAGGCGGGAGAGGCAAGCGGUACUUAGUGGGUAGGGGUAAAAUCCUUUGAUCCAUUGAAGACCACCAGUGGCGAAGGCGGCUUGCCAGAACGCGCUCGACGGUGAGGGAUGAAAGCUGGGGGAGCAAACCGGAUUAGAUACCCGGGUAGUCCCAGCUGUAAACGAUGCAGACUCGGUGAUGGGCUAGCCUCGUGUCAGCCCAGUGCCGCAGGGAAGCCGUUAAGUCUGCCGCCUGGGGAGUACGGUCGCAAGACUGAAACUUAAAGGAAUUGGCGGGGGAGCACCACAGGGGUGAAGCCUGCGGUUUCAUUGGACUCAA